AGUUGCAUCAAAGCCCCAUUAACAUUGCU
rnacentral:piRNA from 1 species